GAACAGCUUGGCUCAAGGUAUGUUCCUGGCUGGUGGACGAGGAGCCUAUGCCGCCACACCACUCCAGGGACCACUGGCAUAUCUUGAGAAGACAGCUACCAAUAUAGACAUGGUGGGUCUGGGCGAUGGAAGAAGGUGACGCGGCCGCGGGAGGGGCAGGGGUAGAGGCCGCGGCAGAGGCCGAGGUCGUGGUGCAUCCCCUGAGUAUGGUGGCAGCAUGACUCCUCCAUAGCGCGCCCCCUCCCGGCGGCGUCCGAGAUCGCGCCGGACACACAAACAUACACACUCACAGACAUACAAGGUGUUUUAUUAUGAAAAAAGUAUAACGCCACCUAUUUAGGUAUAUGGGAAGUAUAGUUUCAAGAAUUAUGUAAUAGAUGGCGCGCAACUUAUAUUGGCCCUUGUGUUUUUGAGUUUUGUUUUUUUAUUGUUUUAUUCUUGCUUGUUUUUUAAAUUUAAAAGUAAUUACAAUAAUUGAUUAGAUGCACAUGUCAUUGUUAACUCCGAAAGUUUUUCUCAAAUUAUAAUUGUCGAACUUACACGAUACUUUUUUUUUUAAAGAAAACUUAUGUUUUUACAAGAAAUACUUAUUUUAUUUAUUGAAUUAUGAAACACCUUGUAUGAUGUACACAUAUUUAGCACAAUAUAAUCAAAUAAAUACAUAUUUAUUAACUUGAAAUUACAAUAGGGAAGAUGACUAACAGUUUUAGUAGAUUAAUGAAUAAUAUCGGCCCCCAGAUUAUUAUGACCCUUGAAUCUUAAAAUACCGUUUUUUUUAAAUCUCUGUAGUAGCACGGAGUUUGCAAUUGUGCCCGGUAUAUGGCAUUAGGCUCAA